rnacentral:rRNA from 1 species
UACGUAGGGUGCAAGCGUUAAUCGGAAUUACUGGGCGUAAAGCGUGCGCAGGCGGCUUUGCAAGACAGAUGUGAAAUCCCCGGGCUCAACCUGGGAACUGCAUUUGUGACUGCAUGGCUAGAGUACGGUAGAGGGGGAUGGAAUUCCGCGUGUAGCAGUGAAAUGCGUAGAUAUGCGGAGGAACACCGAUGGCGAAGGCAAUCCCCUGGACCUGUACUGACGCUCAUGCACAAAAGCGUGGGGAGCAAACAGG